AAGCAUUGCGAAAGUUCCGUUGGUUAUUGCCGUGAUGCGUGUGUGUACGUCGUGUAGCUAGGACGGUGGUUAACAAAAACACAACCACUAGAACUCGCAUUUUUCAAGCAUUUUCAAUAUUUAAAGACCUGAAGUCCCAUCCACUAUUCCACGCAUCGACUGGAAGCGAAUCAGGGAGACAGAAGCCCCUUUCAUCCCAGCCCCAGAUGACAGAACGGACACCACUUAUUUUGACGCUCAGAACAACAUGCAGCAUCUCCAGAUGUCUUCUUUUGCACUUUGACCUCUUGAAUGCAAUCCACAACUCAUCAACAGAAGUAAUGAAACUAUUCCAGGAUGGUGGUCAACUUGGUCCAGUGGUUAGACUGCAGGACUUGCAAUCACAAGGUUGUAGGUUUGAAUCCUACUAAGCUAACUGUGGU